GGAUGAAUGACUGGUUGAUUCUCCUUUGGCACAAAGGUUAUUAAGCUGGUACAGUAUGUUCGAUGAUCAGUGUAUAAUGAUUUUGCCAAAGGAGAAUUGCCCUGCCAUUCACUA
rnacentral:pre_miRNA from 1 species